rnacentral:rRNA from 1 species
UACGGGGGGAGCAAGCGUUGUUCGGAUUUACUGGGCGUAAAGGGCGCGUAGGCGGUCAAUCCAGUCGGGGGUGAAAUCUUGCAGCUUAACUGUAAAAGUGCCUUCGAUACUGAUUGACUCGAGGGAGGUAGGGGCAGGUGGAACUUCCAGUGGAGCGGUGAAAUGUGUUGAUAUUGGAAGGAACGCCGGUGGCGAAAGCGACCUGCUGGAUCUCUUCUGACGCUGAGGCGCGAAAGCCAGGGGAGCAAACGGG